UCAAGUCAGCAGUGGUAUAGAAGUAUCAAUUUCCAUGUAUUUUUCCCUUGGAUUCUUCCAAGCGUAGCUGAAAAAAUAUGUUUGCAGUAUCAUCUACCUGUAGAAGUUUGGUUUCAGUUUUCCUCUAUGGUGGGAUCAGGACAGCUGUUAGCAGUGCACUUCAGUCUAACCUCCAUGAGGGAACGUGGCACCUAUCCCCAGGUGUCUGGAGAUAACUAAGCACAAGGAAUUUCCGAGCAAUGCUCUCUUCCAUAAAUUGUGGAAGUACAGUGAAACCAAAUAAAAUAGCCCAGAUUGCAGGUUUUCUUAACUAUGGGUAUGCUGAGUUCUCUGCAAAAAUACUUGGGUCUAUGAAGGGCAGUAACAGCAACCCACAUCCUCCUGAAGCAGCUGCCUGAGCUCUGGAGAUGAACGAAGGUGACCCGGUGUUGUGGAGAGGAGGAGGAGCUUGUCCUUUGCAAGGCUGCAGGGCUCAUCUUUCCCAGUGAAUUAGGAUCAGCUGGGUCUGGCUUUUAGGAGUAGCAUGCCUGUCUAAAUUGCUGGAACAAACACCACCAGCUCCUCCUUUCCCACGCACUGAACUGUUUUAUUAAUAUGUCAGGAAACAUGACUCAAUCUGCGGCUUUGUCAAGACACAGACAGGAAAUUUAGGUGCUUUGAACUGGAUAAGCGUGGUUUGCCGAAACCAGUUUGGGGAGCUACAUAAUUUUUUGAAGAGCUGCUUCUCUGAGGAAGAUCCCACAGCACCUGAUCCACCCUGAAACCACAGGUUCAAUGUCUUCCGGAGGUCCCUUCAGCCUCGUGCUUCUGUGAGUCAGCUGUGCUAAAAGCAGGCUGCAGCUAUGUGCUAUGAACCUGAGUCCAUGAUGGUGCUAAUGGAAGAGGUCUCAGUUGACUUAAAGCACUUAGUCUCCUCCCAUCCU